CAGUUAUUCCCUCCGUCCGGAAUUACUUGUCACCAAAAUGGAAAGAAAUGAAUGUAUCUAGAACUAAAAUAUAUCUAGAUACAUCCAUUCCUAUGACAAGUAAUUUCGAACAGAGGGAGUAAAUC
rfam:Hordeum vulgare subsp. vulgare, WGS project CAJW01000000 data, contig: morex_contig_2549969